GUGGGGAAUUUUGCGCAAUGGGGGAAACCCUGACGCAGCAACGCCGCGUGGAGGAUGAAGUAUUUCGGUACGUAAACUCCUUUCGAUGGGGAAGAUAAUGACGGUACCCAUAGAAGAAGCCCCGGCUAACUUCGUGCCAGCAGCCGCGGUAAUACGAGGGGGGCAAGCGUUGUUCGGAUUUAUUGGGCGUAAAGGGUGCGUAGGCGGUUUGGCAAGUCUUAUGUGAAAUCUAUGGGCUCAACCCAUAGUCUGCAUGAGAAACUACCGGGCUUGAGUGAUGGAGAGGUGAGUGGAAUUUCCGGUGUAGCGGUGAAAUGCGUAGAUAUCGGAAGGAACACCUGUGGCGAAAGCGGCUCACUGGACAUUAACUGACGCUGAUGCACGAAAGCUAGGGGAGCAAACAGG
rnacentral:rRNA from 1 species